GAAUGCUGUGUCCACAGCUGAACCUGUGGUGUUAACCCAUAACCCUUGAAGCUUCUGUUUGCUCAUGUCUCUGGAUUACUUGCACACAUGUACCCAACCUCUGGCUUCAAGAUAAACCUGAGUGGGAAAAACAACAAUGAAGUUUGCAUGGCAGCCCCUCCUCUAUCACUACGAUGGUGCCUGAACACGUGAUACUAGAAUUUAACACAUUAGUGAGAAAUAUCUGAAAUGGCCUAGAAAUGCCACUUUAAACAAGAGAUGCAUUCAUAAAUACUGAGAAUCACUAAUUAAACAUUGUGACUCAAAAGAUGUUCUAAACUCAACUCAGAGAAAGAAGACAAAUCAAAGCCAGGCUUUCUUUUCAAUGGCUCGUAAUGAGAAGCUCACCAGCAAAAUCAAAUUUCACUGCAUAACCCCAUGACUGGAGUUACUGUGAAGCUUCUACUGUUAAUUACACUGCAGAAGGCAGAGUGGAUUUGCUCUCCUCAGAAGACUAUGUGAUUGAUAUUUUCAUUUAGAUAUGGCAAAAAUACUCCAAACAAUGAACUUUUUUAAACAGGUCUUCAUAUCCUCCAGCUGGACCAACUGCUAACAGGCACCUCUUUGUAACUGGAUAUCAGCAUUGGCACUGACAGAAAGGGAGAAGGAUGGAAAAGAGGAACAGGACACUUCUGAAGUACAGGACACUUCUGAAGUACAGGACACUUCUGAAGUUGUAAUAACUAUCAAAGAACACAGGAACUGUUCUGUUAAUAAAAUUGCUUCUUGCUCUCUGCACACCA